rnacentral:lncRNA from 1 species
GUGGCAUACUUGUUGAAUCCCUUGCUUCCUGAUUGAAGCCAUUGCUUCAUGACAGUUGGGUUUUGUCAAUUCAUCUGUCUGGGGUUCUUCGGGUUUUCAUUCCUUAAUCAGAAAGUAUAUGUAGACUGCGGAGCUGCUGAAAUUGUGAGGAUUCUUUUCUGACAUAAGUAAACCCAAAGUACAUCUGAUAUAUAGGCUUCUAUCCUUUAGGAAGUCUAGUAUAUUGUUUUACCCAACCCCCGGUUUGUGAGGGACAGACACUAAUCUUACCAUAUUAAGAUAUUGUUUAUUGCUUAUUCUUUGAGAAGCGAAGGGGAUAUGUAUUCUUGCUUUGAGAAGCGAAGGGGAUAUGUAUACUUGAAUUUAUCUGUGAAUUUUGGGAUAAUAUACUUUCUUGUCAUGAGGAGUUCAUGUAGAGAGAAUUGCGGAAAAGAAAAUGACCAUUUAUUAUUUUUUUCACUCUCAUAGUUGCUUGUUUUUGAAUCAUUAGCCAGUCUACAAUUAUCAAGUUGUCUACAGCUUAUAUUGAGUUUGGAGAAUCGAUAACUUGUCCAUGCUAGGCGAGCUAGCACUAUUUGUUGUAGCUUUAUGGAAUUAGAGCCGCUUUGGAUUAGCUAAUUGUAAAUAGUUGAUAAGUUUGUAGUGCUGAAAUUGAUUUUUAAAAUAAGCAUUUACGCGUUUGGAUAGAAAUGUUGAAACUGAUAAUAAGCAGUUGAUGUGUUUGAUUAAAAAGUGAUUAUAAGUUAUUCUUUUGUUAAAAUGACUAAAAUACCCUUGAAUUUUUUUUUAAAAGAUUAUAAAUUAAAAUUUUCUUUGUAAAGAAAAUAAUUAAUAACGAAUAUGGAAGGAAGAGAAAGUCAAGAAAAUUAUUUUGGGAAAAGUAUUUUGUGAAUUAGAAAAUAUUAUUAAGGAUAAAUUAGUAAAAGUGUUGGUCAAACUAAAAGUGUUUAUAAGCUGAAAAGGCAUAAGUUUGGGGUGACCAGCUUAUGACUUAUGGCUGAUUUUAGCUAGUGGCGGACCCAAGUGGUGGCUAGCAGGUUCAACCGCUUCACAAAAAAAUAAUAAUAUGUAUAUGUAUAGAUUAGGAUUAAAACUGUUUAAAUUUUGCAUAAAUAUUUUAUUAUAACCCACUUGACAACUACUAUUUUACGACUAUAUUUAUAUACUUCUAAGAUUAAACCUGCUUGCAUAAAAUUCUGGGUCCGCCAAUGAUUUUAGCUUAUAAGCACUUGGCUUAUAAGCACUUUGAGUGUUUACCAAACGCGUAAAUAAGCCAAAAGGUGUUUAUAAGACAGUUUGACCAGCUUAUAAGCUUAGCCAAACACCCUCUUAUUUUGAAGGCUAUCUGUCGUCUGAUGCAACUGGUUAAUUAUCAAGUUGGCACUGAGACUGCAUCAUUAAACUGCGACUUUGAUGAUGUUUUCAAAUUCCUUUCAUAUUAGCCUUAAUAAUCGAAGUCCUUCCCAUUCACUUCAUAAUAAAGUUAAUUUUGCUAAGAUUGACGGCAGCAGUAUUUCUUUCUUUCUUUCUUCCUUUUUUUUUGGGAAAAUUUUUCUUUCUGAUCAUUCUCAUGGGUGAAUUGAAGUAGAAAGGAUUUUCUCACAUGGAGGGCAUAGACCAUUUUACUCAAUGGUUUUACAAGUUCCAAAAAAAUUCUUUUUGCAAAGUGAAAGUCAUCUAAAAAUCCGCACUUCAACAUGCAUCUGGCGUAACUAUUCCUCGGAGGUCACUUUUUUUUGGCUCAAUAACAAUUGAUUACAAGUUAGUAAUCUUCUAUUCUAGUAAAAUCUUCCUUCUAUUCUAAUAAAAUCUUCAAUAAUUGUAUUUUAUGACAUGUGUGUAUGGGAGAAAAACCUCAUGUUACAUGUUGAUCAAGUCAUCGUGAAGGAAGACUUUGGAGACUGCCACGUGUCGUCAAUAGGAUACAGUGACUGACCUCAAAGGGUCGACGUCACGAGAAGACAACACGUCGUCGACGAGGUCGAAGUGACUCGAUAGAAGACGAGGACGAGGACGAGCACUCCUUUUCAGAAAGCAGUAACGGCUAGUUCUAGGAUUACUAUUCCCUAGAGAAUAUUCUAGUGAAUAUUCUUCCCAAUUGUACUAUCUAGGUUUUUGUGGCCCAUAUACCCUUAUAAAUAAAAAGAUAUAUAGUUAUGGAAGGGGAUUGGACAUUCAUUGUAAAGAACAACAUAUUGACAUUCUCUAAAGAUUCUCUCUUUAUCACAUACAUAAAAAGUUCAUAUUUUUUUACAUCUUUGUCUAUCUUUUCUUCCCUGAUCCAAGAAGGAACCGGAUAUUCAAAGACUUAUCAUAAUCCAUCAUUGUCAGAAGAAUUAUUGGGGAAUAUCACCUUUAUCGGGUGACCCCUAUUUAUUUAUUUAUUUACUUGAAUGCUAUUUAUUGUUAUUUAUUGCUCUCUUUCAUAUUCUUGAGUCAUUCAUUACUUCAUUAUUGAUAUUAUUUAUGGCUAUCCAACAGUACAUGCAGGAUAUUUUCCAUAAAUGCACUUGAUCUAUCAUUUGAAUAUUAAUAUUUACUAAGAUUAACCAUUUUUCACUACAAAUCUAAUUGUAUAAAUUUAGAUCUAAAUUUUGGGUCAUACAGUUUGGCACCGUAUGUGGGGAUUUCUCAGUCAAGUUUUUAGUUUCCAUUGGAUCUCUAACUCACGUGACCUACUAAUCUAACAAACCACAAAGGUUAUCUGUUUUCUCUGUGUAUAUAAAUAAAUUCCAUGGUAGAUAACCAAGGAAGCGGAAUGAAGGCGACUGACAAUGUUCCUUUCAACCUCAUGAGUGCCAUCAACGAAGGGUAUGACACCCAAGAUGAGGAGGUGACUCCAACGGCCUCCCCCAGACGAGGGAAGUCGCCUACGCCUUUCUGUAGCACGAUAAAAUCAAACAGGAAAAGGGCGUCUACGUCCGCGGGAGAAGGGGCGUCACCCGCUGUAAAAAAGCUCCUCGAAACAUGGUUGACUGACACUCUAGUCAGUGUGAUUAGCAAACAAGCCUCGUGCAAGACUGCAAAAAACACGAGGGAUCAUGCAGCACAGCGCAGGAAUGAACAGGAUGAUCAACCCAACCCCCUAUUCCAGGUAAUACUCAUGCGAUUACUGAUACUGCAUGAGAUAGCGUCCUCGCUGCCGUGUUGAAAAGAAUGGAAGAAAUGAAAAACGAGAACAAGGCGCUCAAGGAACAGAUGAAGGAGCACUAGGAACGGUAGACAAAAUACCAGGUACUCCCAAAUUAUUGCCAAAAAGAGAUGCCGGUUGGUUCGUGGAACAGCCGUACAUGGAAGAAGCGGCCCAACAUACCAUACCAAAGAACUUUGAGUUGAUCUCACAUCUCAGAAUCUACGACGGAACAACCGAUCUCGAGGAUCAUAUAACUCACUAUGUCACCGCCGUGAAAGGCAAAGAUCUCACCAAGGAGCAGGUGUCCCCCAUCUUGCUAAAAAAAUUUGGUGAAACCCACAAUGGAGGGGCGUUGACGUGGUAUUCACAGCUGCCAGCUUAUUUCAUAGAAAAAUUUGAAGAGAUGGCCGAUAAGUUCGUAACGGCGCAUGUCGGGGCCAAGAAAGUUGAAACAAGGGUGAACGACAUCUUCUCCAUUAAGCAAUUCCCAUGAGAAGGACUAAGGGACUUCCUCACCCGAUUCAACAGAGUGAGGAUGACCUUACCAAACGUCUCAGAAGGGAUGGUAGUGUCAUCCUUUCAGAAUGGGUUAAUAAAAUACCCACCAGCCACCUAGGACGAAAUCCACAAUGCCUACUGUGCCGAGGUCAGGGCAUACGAUGACAACCUCAAUAGGACAACACGUCAACUCACCUCGGUACAGUAUGAGCCCAGAAAGGAACGCAAGAACAACAUAAGGAAAGACCAUCCGGUAUCGCGACCAGGUAGGGAACGACAUCAACCCUAUGUCAGGGAACCCGUCCACUCUUUCUGUUACGAAGAUGGCCCCUCUAGGCCGAGAUCAGACACCCACAGGAACGAUCGAGGUACUCCCCUUGCUAUCUACUCAUAAUUUGUGUGUCACCUACAGAGGUGUUCUACGCCCUAGAGAAGCUCGGAACGAAAGUGAAGUGUCCACCAAAGAUGAGGUCCGACUAGAAGUGGCAAACUUGCUGUAGCAAGGAUAUCUCAAAGAAUUACUCAGCGACAAAGGCAGGAACACUUUAGCAAGGGGUCAAGAACGCCUAGGCCCACCAAAACCGCAUUCACCAGCUCGCACCAUCAACGUGAUUAUUCAUGACAGUGACGGCGCCUCCAUCAACGGCAUCAAAUUCAUCGCCACUCACAAACUCAAAAGAUCGUCACCCACGAACAGUAUGACGGACUCGAAGAGAGUAUAAUCUUUGACGAGUUAGAUGCCGAUGGUUUGACUUUCCCUCACAAUGAUGAACUUGUCAUUACUUUACGAAUUUUAGAAACUGAUGUUAGAAGAAUCAUGGUAGAUGAUGAAAGCGGGGCGUGCAUCAUCAAUCCUCGAGUCCUCGCACAGAUGAGACUCAAAGAUAAGAUAGUGUCGCGUUGCAUAACACUAACCGAUUUUAACAAUGUAGUUGAAUGGACCUCAGAGAGAUCAUACUCCCCGUUCUCGCCAGCGGGAUGACUCUGGAAACAACAUUCCAUAUCAUGGAUUAGGACACCGCAUAUAAUGCUAUGGUGGGAUGACCAUGGAUACACCCCAUGAGUGCAAUCCUCUCCAGCUUGUACCAAGUGAUCAAAUUUCCAACACCCUGGGGAAUAUUUAGCAUACGAUGGGAAUAAUGUACAUCCCGGGAAUGUUAUCGAAUCGCCAUGGAUGGCACAACAACUCAACAGAAGAAAGAAAAGAAAAAAGAAGAAUAGCAAUCAGUAGGGUCGAGGUCACCACAGGUCGAAGCCAAAGAAGUCAUUAUGGACCUAGAGACGGCCGAAGCCGGAGGAUCAAGCAUAGAAGACCUCGAUCACGUCCAGCUAGAUCAUAGAGACCCCAGCAAAAAGGCCUAUAUCGGCUGCAAACUCCGAGACCCAGGUAAAUUUUGUCAAUUCUUAAUAACUAACGCAAAUUUGUUUGUCUUUAGCCAUGCAGAUAUGCCCGACAUCCCCAAGGAGAGAGCCACGCACAGGCUAAACGUCGACCCCUACUACCCCCAGUAAGACAGGUUCCGAUGAAAGUUCAACCCCAUAAUCAACGAGGCCGUCCAUGAAGAAGUAUAAAGGUUAUUAGCAAACGGCUCUAUUAGGGAGUCAAAGUACCCUAAGUGGAUUGCCAAUGUGGUAAUGGUCAAAAAGAAAAAUGGGAAAUGGAGGAUGUGUGUGGACUUCGCCGACCUGAACAAAGCAUACCCAAAGGAUUCAUUCCUGCUACCACACUUCGACCACCAAGUUAACGCAACAGCAGGACAUGAGCUACUAAGUUUCAUGGACGCCUACUCAGGCAACAACCAAAUAAUCAUGGAGGAAGAUGACCAAGAGAAUACUACGUUCAUCACUCAUAGAGGAACGUAUUGUUACAAGGUCAUGUCAUUUAGGUUGAAGAAUGCGGGGGCUACUUAUCAAAGGUUGGUCACGAAAUGUUCAAAAAUCAGCUCGGCAAAAUCAUUGAGGUAUACAUCGAUGACAUGUUGGUCAAAUAUGUGAGGGCUGAGGACCACGUCGACCACCUAAAGUAAGCAUUUGACAUACUGAGAAAAUACAUGAUGAACCUAAACCCCGAAAAUACGCGUUUGGCAUAACCUCAGGAAAGUUUUUGGGUUUCUUGGUAUCACAGCGAGGAAUCGAGGUCAACCCAGAUCAUAUUAAGGCCAUCGACAGGAUACCAGAACAUCUAACCACAAAGAAACAAGUUUAGAGACUGACAGGUCAAAUUGUCGCCCUAUCCAGGUUCGUCUCGCGGUCAUCUAAUAGGUGUCACAGGUUUUUCAACUUACUCAAAAAGGAUAAUGACCUCGAGUGGACGCUUGAGUGCAUACAAGUGUUGAAUGAGCUUAAGGUAUACUUGUCGUCGCCACCUUUUCUCUCAAAGCCCGAUCCCGGGGAACGUUUUCCCAUCUACCUCGCCGUUUCAGAAGUAGCAGUAUUAGUUCGAGAAGGAAAAUGUACGUAAUCUCCAAUUUAUUAUAUCAGUAAAACACUUGUCGACGUUGAGAUGAGGUAUCCUCACCUCGAGAAACUAGCUCUAACCCUGGUCGUAGCUUCACGAAUACUUAGGCCAUACUUUCAAUGCCGUCGUAUAUCGGUCAUCACCACAUUUACUUUAAGAAGCAUAUUGCACAAACCCGUGCUAUCUGGGAGGCUGGCCAAGUAGGCAAUUAAAUUAAGUGAGCACGACAUCACUUAUCAGCCUCGCGCGGCAAUAAAUUCGCAAGUGCUUGCCAACUUCGUCGCAUACUUUAGCGCAAAAGUAAUGCCCGAGGCCGAGAAAGAAGCCACUCAAGCUUCUCUCCAAACAUAUGACCUUUGGGUCCUACAUACCGAUGGCACAUCUAAUGCCUGCGGGUCCGGACUGGGACUCGUGCUCGAGAUUGCCACCGGCAAAAUAGUUCGCCAAUCCAUAAGAUUCCCAGAUAUGACUAAAAACGAGGCCGAGUAUGAAGUCGUAAUUGCACGAUUGAGACUAGCACUCAAGUAUGGGGCGAAGCAAUUGAAGCUACAUUGCGAUUCCCAACUCAUCGUCAAUUAAGUUACUGGAAAUUUCCAAAUCAAAAAGUAGAGAUUGCAGAGGUAUCAGACCAAGAUCUGCAAAUUGCUGCCCAAUUUCAACGAAUGCCAGCUCGACCAGAUUUCACUAACUCAAAACAUCAAAGCAGAUGGCCGCUCCACUAAAAGCAUAACUCCGGGAGAUAAAAGUUAGUUCACCUCCUCAGCUCGGUGUUAAAACCACAUCGAGGUAAAAUUUGUAAACCUAAGUUGGGACUGGCGCAAUUGUAUUAUAAAUUAUUUGCAGGACGAAACCCUCCAUAAUGACAAAAAGGAAGCCAAAAAGCUAAGAAUGCAAAACACUAGGUACAACCUCCUUCACAACGACUUGUAUAAGAGAACGUAUAGCGGCCCCUUAGCAAAAUGCUUAGGCCCGAACCAAACACAAUGCGUUCUCGAGGUGGUUCACGAAGGCCAUUGCGGCAGUCAUUUCGGUGACCAAGCACUUGUCAGGUGCCUCAUACGAGCCAGAUACUAUUGGCCCACCAUGAAGAAAGACGCCCUAGAAUUUGUGAAGAAAUGUGAGUAGUGUCAAAAAUACACCUCAAUAAUCCACCAAGCAGGCAAACACCUCCACCAUGUCACCUCUUCAUGGCCAUUUAUUAAAUGGGGGAUGGAUAUCGUAAGACCGCUUCCACCGGGACUAGGUAAUGUAAAUUUUAUUUUAGUUUUAACUGACUAUUUCUCUAAGUGGGUAGAAGCAGGAGCAAUCGCCAAAGUUCGCGAGCAAGAGGUAAUCGCCUUUAUAUGAAAAAACAUCAUCUGCCAAUUUGGCCUACCUAAAAAGAUAAGUUGUGACAAUGGGCCCUAAUUCACGAGAAGAAAAACCAGAGAAAUUUCUCGAAAAAUAGCGCAUCAAAAGGAUACUUUCAACUCUUUACCACCCAACCGGUAACGGGCAGACAAAAUCCUCCAAUAAAUCUAUCCUAAACAUCAUGAAGAAGAAACUCGAGGAGGCUAAGGGAUUGUGGCCGGAAAUACUCCCAGAAGUAUUAUGGGCGUACAGAACAACCCCAAAAACGAGCACAGAGAAAGACCUUACUCUCUGGUCUACGGGACGGAAGCGGUCAUACCAGUCGAAGAACCCAGCCUAAGGUACUCCUAUGAAAGCGGCACCAGCAAUGACGAGAAUAAGAGACAAGAUAUCGACGAGGUCGAAGAGCAACGAGAUAUGGCAUACAUAAGAAUGGUCACGUAGAAACUGUAUGCAGAACGCUACUACAACAUAAAGGCGAAGGUACGAUUACUCAAGAUUGGGGACUACGUACUCAAAGACAAGACCCAGGCAGGUAGAGAUUCGCAAGAAGGCAAAUUAGGAACCAACUGGGACGGACCAUACAAAAUCAUAGGCAAAGCGGACAAGGGUUCAUUCUAACUAGAAAAUAUGGAAGGGAAGCUCCUACCAAACAAUUGAAAUAUCAGCCACCUCAAAUACUUCAACUUUUUGAAAUACAAUAAAUGCCCCGUAAGUCGUACUCUUUUUUCCGUCACUUGAGUUUUGUCCCAAUUAGAUUUUCUCAAGGAGGUUUUUAACGAGGCGACGAGCGGGACACUUCGAGUUGGAGUACGCAAGAGAAGAAGUAUUUUUCAUUGCCCAACUUAUCAAGGAUCUCCAAGUCGGACAACGAAAGGACUAGGUAUACUGGGACUGGGACGCCAGCCAGCACCCGAAACUUGUAAUUUUCUCCAAAGGUUGCCUCAGGGAAAAAUGAUGUAGUCAAAUCAAUGAUAUUGAAAUAAAUAAGACAUACGUUCAUUGAAACUGCUCUCCUAAAAAAGGCACGUUCGACAAGUUCGAACAACUCCCAACGGCCCACGGCCACAACUUAAUCAAAGGUAAGUUCGACCAGCUCGAACAACUCCUAACGGCCUUUGGCCACAUUUAAUCAAAGGUAAGUUCGACCAGUUGGAACAACUCCUAUCGGCCCUCGGCCACAUUUAAUCAAAGGUAAGUUUGACCAGUUCGAACAAUUCUUAUCGGCCCUCGGCCACAUUUAGUCAAAGGUAAGUUCGACCAACUAGAAUAACUCUUAUUGGCCCUCGGCCACGACUUAAUGAAAUGUAUGUUUGAUCAGCUCGAACAAUUCCUAUCGGUCCUGGUCACGACUUAAUGAAAGGUACGUUUGAUCAGCUCGAACAACACCUAUCGGCCCUCAGCCACGACCUAACGAAAGGUACGUUCGAUCAACUCGAACAACACCUAUCAGUCCUCAACUACAACUUGACGAAAGGUGCUCGACCAGUUCGAACAACUCCUAUUGGCCUUCUGCCUCAACCUAACUCAACGGUAUGUUUGACCCGUUCAAACAACACCUAUCGGUCCUAGGCCUAAGCUCGAGUAGAAGAUAACAAUGAAGAAAGCACAGAAGAAAAACGCAAGUACGAAAAUGAGAAUGCACAAAGACAAAAACUUACAUAUGAAACCAAAAUAAACUUUUGUAUUUAUAGAAAAGUUUUUACAAAGAUGUUCAAACACGCUAACAAAAGGUACAAUACAAAAGUUGAGCAAAACAAAAAGCUAAAAAUUUAGUGGCCAUCGCCACCCUGAUCUCCACCAUCCCCUCCUUCCCGGCCUCGGUCAUAAGCAGAACCAAUCAGAAGCCGCAAGUGUAUCAAUGCAGCGUAUCGGGAACAUACGUCAUUAUGCUGAAUGACAUCAUGACGUCACAUCUUUUCCUUGACAAGAUGGUUCCAUUGAAUCACCCAGAAAGAUUAAGAUUUUGAAAUAUGUAGUCCUCGAAAUGCCACGCCGCCCGCUUUUCACAACGACCACAACCGUUGUUAUCCGCUCAUUGAACUCGCCCACGAGGACGGCCUCAACAAGCGGAGGGACUAACUGUAUGGGCGAAAAAUAUCACGUUACAUAUUGACCAAGUCAACAUGAAGGAAGACUUCGGAGACUGUCACAUGUCGUCAAUAAGAUACAAUGACCUGACCUCAAAGGGUCGUCGUCACGAAAAGACAACGCGUCGUCGACGAGGUCGAAGUGACACGAUAGAAGACGGGGAUGAGGACAAGCUCUCCUUUUCGGAAAGCAGUAACGGCUAGUUCUAGGAUUACUAUUCCCUAAAGAAUAUUUCAGUGAAUAUUCUUCUCAGUUGUACUAUCUAGGUUUUUGUGGCCCAUAUACCCUUAUAAAUAAAAAGAUAUGUAGUUAUAGAAGGGGAUUGGACAUUCAUUGUAAAGAACAACAUAUUAACAUUCUCUGAACAUUCUUUCUUUAUCACAUACAUAAAAAGUUUACCUUUUUACAUCUUUGUCUAUCUUUUCUUCCCUGAUCCAAGAAGGAACCGAAUAUUCAAAGACUUAUCAUUAUCUAUCAUUGUCAGAAGAAUUAUAGGGGAAUCUCACCUUUAUCGGGUGAUCCCUAUUUAUUUAUUUACUUGAAUAUCAUUUAUUGUUAUUUAUUGUUUUCUUUCAUAUUCUUGAGUUAUUCAUUACUCCAUUAUUGAUAUUAUUUAUUGCUAUCCAACAGUACACGUGGGAUAUUUUCCAUAAAUGCACUUGAUAUAUAUAUAUAUAUAUAUAUAUAUAUGAGGGCUUUAAAAAAGUGAUGUGGCAUGUCUCUUUGGCCAAGAAUCACACUUAUCUUUUUUCCCAAAUUUUUGACAUUUUUCUAUUUAUGUGCUACAUUAGAAAAUCCAAAAUUCACUUCUUAAUUACAUUCUCUUAAUUAUACCUCCCUCCAUUACUCUUCUUUUUCUCUCAUUUCUUUUCAGUUUAGAAGCCUAAAAGUCUCUACCAUUAAUUCAGUAAUCACUAACCGUUUUGCUUCGAUAGUAAUAAAGCCUAAUUAUAGACAACCGUUUCUUUUUAUCAUUAAAGCCCCAAACUAAAUGCCUCAUCAGAUUCCAUCACAAGGUCACUUUUAAAAGUAUCUAAAUUACACCUACAUCUCCUCCAUAGCAAUUAUACCAAUUGAAUAGAAAAUUACAUGAUAACUAUAGUAUCAAACUGAUACCGAUUGCAGACAAAGAAACUACUUCUCCAUCUCCAACUCCAACUCAAAGCAUAGUUGCGGCCCCUUCGGAUUCGAAGCGCCAAUAGUUGUUAUUGGUUAGCAGUUUUCACUGAUACUCUCUAUCUACAUAUAAUUUUAUGACCCUCCAUUUCGAUAAUUGUUAUUCCAGAAAGUGUUGCUUCAUUUCUUAAAAAGAUUAAAAUUUUCUAUUAUUGUAUAAACUGUUAACUAUGUUUACUUCAGUUUCUCUUUUCUAGGUGUGGAAUGAGAGACAUAUACCGCUUUAAGAACAUCUAAUCUGUGCUUACACAGUUCACGAAAAACCAACAAUGGUAUAUGUUAGGAUCGAGGAUUCGGGUAGUGCGGAAUUUAGCCAAACAACGUUAUAAUGACAAUAACAAAGACAAUAAAAGUUGAUAAUAACGGCAAUUAAAGAAUAUAAAGAAGACACAAAUUUAACGUGGUUCGGUCAAGGUAACCUACGNNNNNNNNNNNNNNNNNNNNNNNNNNNNNNNNNNNNNNNNNNNNNNNNNNNNNNNNNNNNNNNNNNNNNNNNNNNNNNNNNNNNNNNNNNNNNNNNNNNNNNNNNNNNNNNNNNNNNNNNNNNNNNNNNNNNNNNNNNNNNNNNNNNNNNNNNNNNNNNNNNNNNNNNNNNNNNNNNNNNNNNNNNNNNNNNNNNNNNNNNNNNNNNNNNNNNNNNNNNNNNNNNNNNNNNNNNNNNNNNNNNNNNNNNNNNNNNNNNNNNNNNNNNNNNNNNNNNNNNNNNNNNNNNNNNNNNNNNNNNNNNNNNNNNNNNNNNNNNNNNNNNNNNNNNNNNNNNNNNNNNNNNNNNNNNNNNNNNNNNNNNNNNNNNNNNNNNNNNNNNNNNNNNNNNNNNNNNNNNNNNNNNNNNNNNNNNNNNNNNNNNNNNNNNNNNNNNNNNNNNNNNNNNNNNNNNNNNNNNNNNNNNNNNNNNNNNNNNNNNNNNNNNNNNNNNNNNNNNNNNNNNNNNNNNNNNNNNNNNNNNNNNNNNNNNNNNNNNNNNNNNNNNNNNNNNNNNNNNNNNNNNNNNNNNNNNNNNNNNNNNNNNNNNNNNNNNNNNNNNNNNNNNNNNNNNNNNNNNNNNNNNNNNNNNNNNNNNNNNNNNNNNNNNNNNNNNNNNNNNNNAGCUACUCCCAAAUCUUUCAUCUCAAAUUCACUUUUCAGCUGACUUUUCAAAUUGUGAAUUUCUGUUAAAUUCUUAGCAGCAAUGAGCAUGUCAUCAACAUAUAAUAAUAGGUACACAAAUGAACCAUCAUUUAACUUCCGGAAGUAAACACAACUAUCAUACAUGCUCCUCGAAUAACCAUGACCCAACAUAAAGGAAUCAAACCUUUUAUACCAUUGCCUUGGAGACUGCUUUAAUCCGUACAAGGAUUUCUUCAACAAGCAAACACGAUCUUCUUUUCCUUCAAUUUCAAAUCCUUCGGGUUGAUGCAUGUAUAUUUGUUCCUCAAGUUCGCCAUGUAAGAAAGCUGUCUUAAUGUCAAGUUGUUCUAAUUCCAAAUCAUACAUGGCAACGAAGGCAAGCAAGACACGAAUAGAGCUAUGUUUAACAACAGGUGAGAAAAUAUCAUUAAAAUCAACUCCUUGUACCUGACUAUAGCCCUUUGCAACUAAUCGUUCCUUAUACCUCACAUCUUCAACCCCUGGAAUGCCAUCAUUUUUCUUGAAGACCCAUUUGCAACCAACAAUUCUUUUUCCUGAUGGCAGCUUCACAAGAGACCAAGUACCAUUCUUGUGGAGAGACUCAAUUUCUUCAUUAAUUGCAAUCAGCCACUUGGCUGAGUCAGCACCAGAAACUGCUUCUGAAUAUUUUGAUGGUUCUCCAAUUUCUUCAGUUUCCUGUGCAACUAAAAAAGCAAAUGCAACAUAAUCUUCAAACUUUAAUGGUUGUUUACCUUCUCUUCUUGGUCUAUGUUUGGCUAUAGAAUACUCCUCUUCUUCUGGUUCAACUUCAGGAGUCUCAACUUCAGGAAUUUCAGCUUCUGUCUCAACUUUAGGAGUUUCAACUGUAUUUUGCUCCAAAGUUGAUGAGCUUGGCUCAGAAGGAAUGCCAAUCUCAAUCUCCACCUGGUUCUAUGUACUCUUUCCUUUAUCUGUAUUACAAGAACUAGAAGACUCUUUUCUAGAAUGUAACAUAGAGGAUUCAUCAAAGGUUACAUCUCUGCUAAUUAUAAAUUUUGGUGUCGUGGGAUCAGGAUACCAUAGUCGGUAUCCUUUUACCCCAGAUGCAUACCCAAGGAAAAUGCACUUUUUAGCCCUUGGCUCUAAUUUUUCAUCAUUUACAUGCAUGCAUGCAGGGCAACCAAAUAUCUUUAAAUCAGAAUAAUUAGCAGGAGUACCUGACCAUAUUUCCUCUGGAGUCUUAAAGUUCAAAGGUGCAAAAGGAGCUCGGUUGACAAUAUAACAAGCUGUAGAGAUAGCUUCUGCCCAAAAGGCGUUUGUCAACCCAGCAUUUGAAAUCAUGCAACGAGCCCUUUCCAAAAGAGUUCUAUUCAUCCUUUUUGUCACACCAUUUUGUUGAGGUGUCAUUCUCACAGUACGAUGUCGAGCAAUUCCUUCAUUCUUGCAAAAUUUGUUGAAUUCAUCAUUACAAAAUUUCAAGCCAUUAUCUGUUCUAAGCCGUUUAACCUGUUUUCCUGUUUGCUUCUCAAUCAAAACUUUCCAUUGUUUGAAAUUUAAGAAAACAUCACUUUUAUUUUUCAGGAAAUAAACCCAAACUUUCCUUGAAUAAUCAUCAAUGAAAGUUAACAUAUACCUGAUACCACCUUUUGAUAGGGUACGUGAAGGACCCCAAAGAUCUGAAUGAAUGUAAUCCAAAGUACCUUUUGUUCUAUGAAUCGUUGGAGAUUUGAAGCUGACUCUUUUCUGCUUUCCGAACAUACAAUGUUCACAGAACUCCAUAUUUUCGGUACUUUGGCCAUAUAAGUGACCUCUUUUACUGAGGAUGGAAAGACCUUUUUCACUCAUAUGCCCCAAUCGCAUAUGCCACAAUUUGGUGAUGUCAAAAUCUGAUUUAUCUGAUAUUGAAACUGCAGCAGCACCUGUAACAGUAGAUCCCAAAAGAGUAUAUAACGUACCAGAUCUGCGUGCUUUCAUGAUCACAAGAGCACCAUGAGAAAUUUUCAGAACUCCACCUUCACCUGUGUACUUGCACCCAAGAGAUUCUAGAGUGCCCAAAGAGAUGAGAUUUUUCUUCAAAUCAGGAACAUGUCUAACAUCGAUGAGAGUUCUCACCACACCAUCUUGCAUUUUGAUUCGGAAUGUACCUUUUUCAAUAACUUUGCAGGCAGCAUUGUUGCCCAUCAAGACAACUCCACCUCCAAUAGAUUCAUAUGUGGUAAAUAAAUCCUAACUGGGACACAUAUGAUAAGAACAACCCGAAUCUAAAAUUCACUCAUUGUUAGAUUUGAAACUAUUAUUAGUUGUUAAAAAAAUAGUUCCCUCAGUCUCAUCAGCAGCUACACUUGCUUCGGCAGUGUUAGUAUUUUUGUGCUCAUUUUUCUUUUCUGUAUGCUUUUCUUUGUUUUUCAAUUGAAAGCAUUCAGAAAUAAUGUGACCUUUCUUAUGACAAUAUUUGCACAUGACAUUUUUGUAUCUGGAUUUUGACAUUGNUUNNNNNNNNNNNNNNNNNNUUAUAAUGGAUAUUAUGUCAUGGCAAAUGUCAUGAACCACAAAUUUGUUAUAAUGGAUAUUAUGUCAUGGCAAAUGUCAUGAAAAUUUGGCCAUAUUACGGUAUAUACUGGUUGCGUAUCUUUAUUUUGAUUUUUCUAUUUUCCUUCCGGAGGUUAUAUGAAGUUUAAGACAAGAAGAACAAGAAAAAAUAUAGAUAUUUUGUUUUCGCUGUGCAGAUGCUCAUUUGAAGGAGCAAGGUUGAAGUGGGAUCACUACAUUGGAAGGAAAGAUGGAAAACAACAAUUUUCUCAGAAAUAUACUCACUGUCCCUGACAAUAGCUAAUGACUAAUUGAGGAUUCACAAUGUGUCCAUACGAUAUUCUCUUAGGCAAGAAACAAUUAUUUAUUUAAUAGUAGUAAUAAUUUUUAAUUUUUUUUUUUUUUUUUUUGUGGAUGUCCUCGAAGAGACAUGACUCAUGUAGUUGUAACAUUAAUUGAAAUGAAUUUAGGUACUCUUCUGUAUGAAUAACUAUAUAAUUGUACUGAAAAUUCAAAAUUAGUAGAGUUUGUGUUUAAUUUGGAUUAUUUUUGUGGCUGAUACGUACUUGGAAAUAUACCAUAUGGAACCGGCAUGUCUUUACAUAACAAAGGAGGCUACGUAAAAAUAUUUUUGAGUCAGGAAAUUUAAGAGCUAUUGUGAAAAAUCUUGAAAGAAGACAAAGCCGCUUGCUUCUCAACAUAGGGGAAGAGGAAGGAAAUCAAUAAUGAUCGAGCAGAUUCAAUGGCCUUUCUAGAAUAGGAGAAUUGAGAGGGAGUUUGAAAAAUAUAUUAGGAAAAGAAAAAAAGAAUAAUGAAAGAAAAAAGAAUAGGAAAACAAAUAGAUAUUGGGAAUACAAUUCAAUACUUUUUAUUUUUUAUUUUUUAGUUGCAUUGCAUUCAUUUCAAAUUCUAUGAUUUGAAUAGAAGAUUUUUUUUUUAAAAAAAAGGUGAAGAAAAACAAAAGUUGUACUAUCUAAUGAAAGAAUGGGUAUGUUUUAGAUAUGCAUUAGAUUUAGACUAAGGGAAUAAGAUGCGCAUACACAAACACAUGAAGUAUAUAAGUGAAUUUUUUUCUUAUAUUUUUUUUUUUCAUUUCUUGAAAAAAUCAGAUUAUGAAAAAUAUUGUCCAUCUAACCUCAAUCAAUAUGUAUAAUUUAUUUUUUAUUUAUAUAUGUACGUCAAAUUUUAUCUCUUUUAUUUCAAUUAAAUUUAUAAAAUAUUAUUUAUGAAUCAAAUAUAUUUUUAUAACCGCGCGAAGCGCGGAUAAAUUCACUAGUUUGGAUAUUAAUAUUGACUAAGAUUAACCCUUUUUCACAACAAAUCUAAUUGUAUAAACUUAGAUCUAAAUAUUUACUCAUAUACAAUGUGAUGAUGUAACUUUACCUGCAUUGACGCAUACACUAAAUCAAUAAAGGUACAAAAUUUAUUACUCCACUUAAAAUUAAGUAAAUAGUUGCAUUGAAUAUUUUCCUCUUUCAGAAAAAAAUAAGAAUAUUUUCCUCUUUCGGGGAAAAAAUAGAAAAAGGAAGUGUAUCCGUGUUUGGAUCACCCAUCCAAAUCCAAUACAUAUUUGGAUCAUAAGAAGCCCGCACGGCUUAGGCACAAAGCCCAAAACUCAGAAUCAGUAACAAAAAGUGGAAAUGACAUCAGGCAGCCACCUUUAAGCAAUGAUGUUUAAAAUAUAUCCAUAUUUUAUAAUAUAAUUUAAAUAUUAGAUAAUUUUACUCAAAUUUCAGGACACGACAUCCUAGAAUUUAAACCUAAAAAUUCAAACUUCGUUACAUCAUGUCCUAAAAUUCAAAAAUUAUAUCUAGAAGUUCGAAUCUUAUAUCCUGAAUUUUAAAUUAGUAAUUCAGAAAUUCAUGACACUUAUUCCUGAAAUUAAAAUUAGCAGAUAAAAAAUGAUGCUUAAUCCUAUAGUGUGUGAAUUAACUAAUCUUUAAAUAUAUUAUAAAUUAUGGAUAUAUUUUAAAUAGCGGGCUUAAAAUUGGCUAAUGAUGCACUUCGCCCUAACAAAAGCGUGCUACAGACGGAAAUCAAAUUCCCGGGUUCGAAGAAAUUCUCCUGCCAUCUAGCCAGCCAUGGAAUACGAUUACAGGAACAGAACAGGAUCUCCUUACGAUACACAAUUGCCGCCGAUGUACGGCAGACCAGCAACUGGCGCUCCACAUCCACAUCCACAUCCCAUGUACGGUCAACAAGCUCCCGGACUAUAUCCUAGGGUUGGUCAACCCUCCGGCGGCGGCCGUAACCCUCCUAUUCAUCACACCUCUUCUCCGUCUUCCAACAGUAUGUAUUUCCUCGAUCUCUGAUCUCUCAUUUAUGUAAGCGUUGUAGGUUAAUCUGUUCGGAGUCAAUUUCAAUUAGCGCAAUUUUGAUCUUUCACCUGUUUUUUAUGCAGCUGGAAUUGGCAUCAGAGUUGCUAUUAAACCUGAAUAUCGGAUUACACCUCCGGUACGAAUCCUUUAUGCUUAAUAUAUACUAUUGUAGUCUUGUACAUGUAGUCCAAGUUCUGAGGUGCUUAUAUGCUGGACGUGCUUCCGACUGUGAUAUACAACCGUGCUUCAUAGGACCUUUUGCAAAUAUAAAAUUUAAGUUAUAUACACGGAUCGUUUUAAAAGCUUCUUACAUUAUCAGUGAAUUUUAACCUGAGGUUAGUUAUCAUUUUUAAUGAUAACCUAAUAUUUAUUGAGAGAUUUACUUGUAAUUACCUAAAUAAAUGAUCUGAUUGUCAAAAUACUUUUACAUUGUCAGUGCAUAGGACUUAAACUCAAUAUAAUUCUACUCAUCAGUUUGUUUCCAUAACUAGAUUUUGUAUACUAUUAAUUUAGUAUUGUAUCAGAUGCAUAACUUAAGUCGUUUAUGUGAACAAUAUAUUAUUUUCGGUUUCUUGCAGCCUCCGCUGUCAACACAAGUGGGAGACAUUCCUCGGAGCACAUUCAACUUUGAUUUUGACUUUGAGAAAAAGAUUCUGGCCGAAGCAGAAAAGGAAAGCCAGAACUGGAGCAGGCUAGGGCUGGAAAAUCUUCCAUCUAGAUUGCCAGAACAAACUAACACGGUAUUUUGUAUUUCUUGUAAUCUUGUUAACUGUAGUUCUAAACUCUACUUACAUAAGUAUCUCUAAGCGUAUCCAGUCCGGUAUCUGAAUGAAAAUGUCCAAGUAUAAUUAAUCCCCUGAAUAGUGAAUUUGUUGGGACGUACCCACCUAGGACAACACUAUGUUGGCCCUUGAAUAGAGUGAAGGGCUUAAGAGGAUUCAUAUAGCCCACCCAACUAGUUUAGAAUUGAGGUGUAGUUGAUUGUUAGCUGAAAUUCUCCUCCAUUUCAAUUAUAUGACGGUGCUUGACUGAUCAUGGUGUUAAAGAUAUUCAUUUUGACUUGUGUAUAUUAUUAGUGGUAGUGGAAGAAAUAAAUAAAGAAACAAUUGAAAAAGUUGGUUUGAUACAGAAAACAUCACAUCAAAGCUUCAAAUUUGUGUAGUUUACUGGAUUUGCAUUCUUGGAAGUUGUGAAAGUUGGCUAGACAUGGAGUGAUGACAAACAUCUUGGAGCACCCCAAAAUGAAAAGAGCGUCAUAGAAAUUGAAAACAGAGAGAGUACUUCUUUGGUUUGCACCCAUAUGCAUUUCUAUAUUUAACUGCUAGGGCAGUGGCUGGGUCAUAAGACUAACAUCUUAAUUGGGGGAUUUCUAUUGCUAUCUAUUUUAUUUAAUUUGGUCUUAAACUAUAGAGAUUAAAAAGCUCAUCAACAAGCGAAAGAAAUAUACAAAAGUUAGACACCUGUACUCUGGCAUAUGGUGGAGGUAGUCAAAUAUGUAAAGUAGUUUGAGCCUUGAGAUGUUUUAGUCUCUUUUUAUCAUCACUUGAUCUUACAAAAUGUGAUUGUGGCACUGCUGCUUCCAGGAAGGUCCAAAUUUGAAAAAAAGAGCUGAAUCUUUAAGAUGUAACUCUUUUAUUUUUUUUAGAGUAGGAAAUUACUUCCAAUGACAUAUCUUUACGUAUUCCUAGUCUACAUUGAAACUGAAGAUUAUGAGAUGCGGCUUCCAGUCAUUCAGUUCAUAGUUGGCGACAAAUCUGGCGUUAUUUUAAUAUCUGUUCAGGCUCUUUCUCUGGGUUGGACUCCUGGAUAAUUGAGGAGAUGCUAAUAAGCAAUGCUACUGUUCUGCCCUGUUUACCACAAUUAAGCUUGAGGAUAAUGGUGCAAGUGUUGGUUCUUGUACUUCCUUUUCCUUGGCUCAGGUAGACUACUUUUAAGUUUUCAACGUGGUUAAAUCCUUCUGUGAGAAAUGAAGGCAAGGGAAAGUAUUAUCAAGAUGAGUAACUUUAAUUAUCUUAUACAGACUUUACACAAUACAUAAUACCUACUAACCAAUGUGGAACAUUGAAGUUACAUACACUAACUACCUAACACCUUCCUACGGUGAGGAUUAUUCUUUAAACAACAUAUUCUAUUAUGCAUAGCUUACUUGACCUAAGAAAGAAUAAGUUUGUCCUUUUCCUUUCUAGGAAUUAGCGUAACAAGUAAAUCCGCAAGUUGGAUCCCUCAUUUUGAAUUUGUGGAUCCAAAUAUGGUUUAUAUACUGCAAAGGAGGAAAAAUUCAUGUCUCUAAACAUGUCAUUUAUAUUUUGACAUUUUUAGGAUGUCAAAUAUUAAAUCUAUGAACAAAGGUAGUUAGCAUCGUUAAAUAUAUGUGUAUGUGCGCGCGCGCACACACACAUAUAACAUCAAGUAUUGAUUGCCAAGAGCACAUCAUGUGCUUUGUUUGGGAAUGUGUAAUACAUCAAAUAUUUUGCAGUUUACUCAAUGUGAUUUCUGAUUUGGUGCUCAUCAACAGAGACUUAAUUUUUGUUGAUAUUUGAAUGAGUCUUUUCUUACUUGAAUAUAGGGAUCCACUGGAGAUUCUGUUAUAAACAAAUACACUUCAUUUGGUUUCAACAGAGAGGCUGUGGCCAUAGCGGUUGCAAAUUAUGGAGACAACCCGAUCAAGGUAUACAUAUCUUUUAUAUGCUUCUCUUACAUUUCUAUGCCUGCAUGUAGCACUAGGAGCACGGUCAAAUUAGCUUAUCUACAAAACUUACUUUAAAUUAAGUUUGUGAAGACAUUUCUCUACAAAGACUUCCAUUUCUUAUUUUCUUCCCGUUUAAGUCAAAUUUCAAAUUUAAUUCAUCGACGGUCAAGUUAACUAAUUUUUAUAUUGAAAUUGGAAAAUGAUUACAUUAUGUUUUGUAAAGAGAAUUAGAUAUUUAAAACUGCAUGAAGGUACAACUUGAUGCAUCUUUUUCCAUCAUAAAACCACUUCGACAGUAAUGUUAACAAAAAUUGAAUUUUAGUUUUUGAAUGGCCAAACAUGACAUUUAAUUUGCGACCGAGAUUGUAGAAUGUUGAAGUGAACAAGGAAGUGUUAUACAAAAAUUUGACCACUAGCAUUAAGGAGCACUUGUCUAUAGUAAAUGUGACCGUUCAUUAGCUUUUUCUAACAUUUUCAUCAACUAAUCAGGUCAAGGAAUUUGCCGAGAGAUAUACUCGCUUGAAAGAAGAGAUGGGAUUCUCACCAAACAGUGUUGCAGAUGCCUUACUAUUGAAUGACAACGAUACAGACAAGGCGAUAUCUCAUUUGAUUGGCAAUUCAUCAUAAUAGUUUUUAUGAUCACGUCUUCUGUAAAAAUAAAAUAAAUUUUUUGAGAAUGUAAUGAAGGUGUCAGUACAUUAUAAUGUCAUUGUAAAUGUAUUUUAUGCUUGUGCAGAUAGAUAUUUUCUGAUAAGUCCUAUUAACUUUAGAUAAGUGAUGUUUGGCAUUGAUAUGAUAGCUGCAAGGUUGCAAUAAGCGAAGUAGGCUGGUAGAGGUUAUUCUUCUCCCAUGUCAAUUUUGCGUCCUGGCAUUCUAGUUAGCUUUUUAAUUACUAUUGCCGUGCUUUGUCCAAACACGAUACCAAUUCAACUUCGGAGCCAGUAAACUUUCAUAUAAGACAGUUGGCUUGCCUUCCCUUUUGCGUUGGUAGACUUAGCCGAAAAUUUACAGAACUUGGCGCAAAUGUUCUGGGCAUCCACAAGGAAACAGUAGUUUGGUCUCCCAUGUGUCUGAUAGGACCUUUGUUGCAACUUAUUCCAAAGGGGUGUCAAAAGUAUAAUUAGAUUUCCCUGACUACCCAAAUAUUUCGAUAGAGGAUAAACGGAACACCUUUCUCACGUACUGCACAAUGUAUACACUAAUGUAUGUAACAUACAUGGCCAGUUUACCAACUACCAUCCCCCUCUAUUUCUGGGUAGGAAUGGCGUUUAGAUGGCCUAUCAGAACAGCUACUUGCACUACUCCUAACUACGUUUUUACAUGAAAAAAGAAGAGCUAAAAGUACCACACGAUUCCAAGACACUACAUUAUGACGACUAAAUCCCUGCACGUUGGGGGUGGACGACAACCUGGUCAUAAACCAAAUAUGUGGUCACUAGCACCAAAUAUUGCAGCGGUAAACUGUCGUGUGUUCAAGUCAUUUCCAUCCAGAGAACCAAAUCUAUCAAGCCACUGAGUUGGACUAGGAUUAUCCACCUCUUCUACCCACUCAGAUGUCAUAUCUAUGUCAUCAAGUUGGAGGGGAUCCUCCUCGGUAGGUUUAGAAACCAAAUACCGUGCUAACUUCAGAUUAUAGUUUAUGUAAACAAGGUCCAGAAGGGUUUCCUUAUCAAUCUUAUUGCGCCUCUCAGAGUGGAUUUGUUGAAAUGUGCUCCAAUGUCGUUCAAAAGUGAAUGUACUGCAUACCUGGCUAAGUAUUCUAAUGGCGACUCUCUGCAACGUAGGAGCAGCAUCACCGUACUGUUCCCACCAAAUACCUACAAUGCAUUUCCUUCGUAUCAGUCCAUUGAGAGUUAGUUAGGCAAUGACGAAAGCUUGUAUAAAAAGCAUGAAGUGUCGGCAGCAGUCAUUUUUCUGACAGCAUGAAUCUAUGAAUUGAGAUGCAAGCAAGAUGAUAGAAAAUUAUAACAGAACAGUUCAAGUCAUUUACGACAUGCUGGAGAAAGUACAUACAAUUGAUGCAUUCAGAGGAGACUUGACUCAAGGUUAGCGAUCAACUAGACAUAAUUUCAGCUUAGUCAGUAUUUUAAGCCAGUCUUAUGGAAGUCUUACUACCAGUUAAUAUCUACCGAGUCAUUAAUGUUUUUUUACAACUUUUAGGUUCAAAAGUUCCACUGACUUCAUUGCUUCCUGAAUGUUUAGUCUUGCAGGAAGUGAUAGGUAUGUAUUUCGAGGCAGAAUUGCCGUUCAAGUACAUCUCUUUUUUAUUUCUUUUAAUAAAUGAGAAAUAAAAACCCAAGUACAUCUCCUUUUAUUAGCUCAUGGUUUUACUUAACUUAGGAGGUAGCAAGCACAACAAGCACAGGCAACAAUAGCUUAGUUGUUUCUAACAAUUUUAAAUCUCACAUUGGAUUUUGCUUAAAUUAAACAUGAAACGUUAAAUGACCUUCAUGACUGAUUCUUAAAGCUGGUGCCUCUCUUUCUUAUUUUCUUGUAAGGUAGUAGAUCUAACUAGAUCGCAAAGUAUUCAGACAAAAAACCAAACUCAAACUAGUUUAUAGAUAACUCAAAAGAUCAGCUUGCAACACUACUGCUUUAUCCAGAUAUAACUUAAGGCUCAAACUAGAGUCUGGAACUAAUUUUAGUACUCUUAACUCUGAAGCCUAGAACUUUCAGGAAAAGAAAAACUUAAAAUCUAGUCUCGAACCUUCACAACACUAUAAAAACACUAAUUAGAAAUUGAAUCCCAGAACACUUGCAAGUUCUAAUGACCAGAUAUUACUGGGUUUCCGCAUUUUGACCAUGUGUUGCAACCAUCAUUUUCUCCAUGCUAAAGGGAAGAAAAAGAGAGUUCAUUUUAUAGGAGAAGAGCAUUUAGAACACUAUAUUCUAUAAUCUUUUCAGGUCUAUAUCCAAAAUGGAGUCUACGAGUUGCAGUUGCACGAAGCUUAAAAGAAAAGCUUUCGUUGGAAAUAUCAUUUUUUUUCUUGAAAAUCAUAUAGGCAACUAAUGAAACUUCCAGGUGUAAGUAAAAUGAAGGAAAUACAAGUGAAACUUUUGAAAAAGAAAACCUAUUCUGCAAGGCCAAGAGAAAUAGGAUUUAUGAUCUCCUUCUGAGUUCUGAUAAGGUUCUCUCUAGUUGUGAGUGCCUGAGUGGAUACCACAUGAAAGAUACAAAAGAAAUAUCACACAUCUUUCAUUUCUCUUCUUUUACUUUUUCUAUAGUUGGUCAGAAUAAUGCAACAAAAUUUCGAGUUUUUCACCUUUCCAAGAGGAAUUUAAAAAGCAUUUAUACCUUUUGGAAAUAAAGAUCUCUAUGCCAGUAAAAAGUAACAUAAGCAAAUAGGCUAUACCCAUAUUUUAUUUUAUUUUUUAUUUUUUGUUAAGAGGGAAACCCGCAGCCGCUACACUUGGUGCGCACUGGGUAAACUUCCCCCUGUGUAAUAGCCUGCAAACCACACAGACACAGGGGAGGUAAUCCGCACUAGGCAAGCCAUGUGCGACAGGCUCAACCCAGAAGGCAUUGAGGGGGAUUCGAUCCCAGGUCAUCCGUGUGGAUGACCGCCCUCCAAACCAACUGGGCAAACCCAAAGGGUCUCAAAUAGGUUAUACCCAUUCCACCUAAGUCCACAAAAAUAAAGGGAGAGAGAUCUCCAGGGAACACCAAAGGAACCCAUUAGUCUAAUAGGAAUUAUUUUUCUGCCAAUGCAGGAUAUCACUACGUGACCUAUGACAUGUCAAUUUAGAAGAAGGUGCUAGCCAGCUUUCCUACUAUCUCAAGGAGAAGAAAGAAGAAUGAACGGACAAGAAUUUUCUUAGGAUCGCUUCAAUUUAAGUAUAUGUACUGGGGAUGCACAAAACAUUUGAAUCUAAAGCUUCAGUCAUACCUGGAGGAACAGUAUCAAUUGCCUCCUUUGCCAGAUUACAACCAAACAUUCCUGAUGCCCUUGUAAAUGAAAGGAUUUGAGUGGUGAUAUCUCGCCUCAAUUCGGGAGUCGGUAAUAGCUUCUCCAGCACUCUGAAAAAAUCUUCUUUUAUUGACCCAAGAAACUUGACUUCUGUGUUGUAUUGGAUGCUAGGAUUCAAAAAGGCAGCUGCUGAAUGCAGAGGAGAGUGGAGGUUAUUCUGCCAUUUCUUAUCUACUAUAUCCAAAAAUGUCGUGCACUUUGUUUCAUCCAUAAUAUAGUAUGUCCGUAUUGACUCCUUUGCUCUGGUCAAUAGUUCAUAUAUAGAGCCCACAGCUGGCUUUCCUCCAGAUACUUCCCUCAUUACUUUGAGAAAGGGCUCAGAAAUAGCAACACACUCUUCAGCUGUCCUCCAAAAGUCAUUGUCAUCGAGAAUUCCAAUACAAUUAAUGCUUUGCGGUUUAUUUGUAUAAGCAGAAUUGGCAGCAAACUCUGGACUGUUAAACAUAAGUUUCAAUCUUGACCUAUGCUUCAGUAGACAUUGUAAGGAGAGAAAGUGUGAAACGGACUUUGUGAUACCAGUCUUGAUGAUCUCUUGUCCUAGAGUGAACUUUUUCAUGAGAACAAGCAAUGAGGAAUUAUUGUAUAUAAACUUCGAGAUUGAUUGCGCCUGUAAAAUGCAUCUAUAUACCCAAUCUAAUUUCGAAAACUCGUCUAAGAUUGUGUUUAUACACUGUGAAGCACAAGGGGACACAAAAACACUCCCAUAGUUCUGCAAAAUAUGGUUCACUAUACCAGUGCAGCAAAGUGUAUUAUCCACAAUUACUUGCACAAUAUUCUCUGGGCCAAAUUCCUGAAUGAUUGAAUCAAACAACUCAGAGAGGCAUUUUAGAUUCUUAAAAUAUGAAGAUGCAUCUACAGAUUUGUAGAAAAUAGUCCUGGAGGGUGAUGAAACCAAGAAGUUGAUCAAAGCUUUCAUUUUGUUAUCUGUCCAUGUUUCUGCAAUUAAAGUGCAACCUGUCAUUGCCCACUCUUUCUCAACAUCUUUUGACUGUAAGCUUACUUCAGACUUGAUCCUCUCCAACCAUGUUGCUUUCAGAGUUUCAGGAGAAGGACCUAAAAACCCACUGCCACACUUCCCUACUGCCUCAAUCAUUUGAUGGUAAGAGGAAGAUCUUGCAACACCGAAGUCAAUUUUGUUCUCAAAAAAGAACAAUGCAAUACUUCUCUCCGCAUUUUCUUGGUUAUUUCCAGGUGAAGAGAUAGCCUGCCCAAUUGGUGGAAAAGUUCUUGCAAUUGGAGUUAUUGGUUCCACAGACAAAAGGGGUUUUUCUGGAGAAAUAUUUACAAGAGAUUUAGCCUCAAUGAGCUUAUGCUUUUUAGUACUAGGAGUUUCCUUUGCCUCAUCCUUUGAUGCUACUAUUGCCCUUACCCUGUCAGUAACAUCAUCUCUCACCUUAGUACAUGGAUUCACACCUUUACUGGGAAGUCUGGAUAAGUGGUGCUUUAACCUACUAAUGCCACCGUUGAGAAUUCUAAGACAGAAUUUACAUCUCACUUUAUUUCCGUCUAACUUCUCCGCAUAUUCCCAACAGACAUCUUUUUCUCGAACCACUGCCAGAAAAAAAUAUCGGUUAGAUAAUUUUAUGACUCAUCCUAGAUGGUUUUUCUUAUUCAUUCUAUUAUCUUUUCCCCUCUUAACAUAAAGAAAGAUUGUAGUCAAUAACAACAACAACAUACUCAAUGUGAUCCCACAAGUGGGGAUAAAGAAAGACUGUAUAUGGUGCACAAUAAUGAAACAAAAUUGUCAUUUAGGAAAUCUCUUUAACAAUUUGAAAUGAAUGCAAUGAUAAAGUCAAGUGUUAAUCUGCUAUUAAGGUAGAUAUAUAUCUUGUUAGUUAAUAAUGAUAAGCUCAAACAAAUGCUACCUACUAUAUGUCAAUCAUCUUCAACUCAUGCAACAAGGAUGUAUCUUAAUUCGCUAGCAAAGCGUAAUGCGUUUGCAUAGGCUUCAAUCAUAUACCAAUAUACUUUUUAAAAACCUCAACUUUAUAAAAAAAACUCAACUAUUUACAAUCGCCAUUCUGUUAAAAAGUGCCAGUAUUUAAGUUGGAAAAGCAGCACAAGAGAAUCACACGGUGGUUUUACCACUGAUCAAUUAUGUGAAAGCGCUAUUAUCGAAUUUCAAUCUCUGUAAAAAGACAAAAGGAAGGAAACUAAAGUGGUUCCACUCAAAAUCCCCAAAUUAAAGCUAGGUUUCUAUUUUGUUAAACUGAUCAACUAAAUUCCUUCUAAUAAUAUGGUGUACCAACCAAAAAAAAAA